GACCAGAGCCAACCAUCAUAACCACACACAAUCUGCAAGUUUUUCUUGUGCAGCUGUUGACAUGUCGUCAACAACAAUCUCAGGAUCAUCAUCGCUUGGAUAAAACGCAUUCCAUUGCAUUGGAAUGCAAUCAAAUGCAUUGUCCAUCGAGUUACGGAUCUCUCUUUUGCCCUUCUCUUUAAAUGUCCUCGUGUACGUCCAUGUGAAUGUGGGUGUAUUCAUGAGGACAUCCUUUUUACCCUAUCCCGUCUGGUGUCAUUUAACUCUUCAGGGAUGGAUGGAGCAACUGUAGAUGUCUGGCUGUAUUUCCCAGGCAUAAAGGUUGAACGUUCGGUCACCACACCGUGAUUCCCUCUACCAGACCCGUUCAGUUCCUCCUGGG